rnacentral:snoRNA from 1 species
AAACCAUGGUGAGGGCAUUAAGCUUGGUAGCCUUUGAAUAUAUCCCAUGCUUCACUGAAUCCUUCCAAACCCUUCUGUUGAAAGCUGGAGAUCUCAUUUUUCAGCUU